GUAAUAUCUCAACUGCUUCUGAUGGGUCUGUUGAGCACAAAGAAAGCUGCUAAGUCUACUCCGUUCCUCGUGGUGUUGCCUGUUUUAACCUUAACAUUUCACAAGUAUUGUAAGAGUCGAUUUGAACCUGCAUUCAGAAAGUAUCCCAUUGAGGAAGCAAUGGAAAAGGACUUGCAAGACCGAUCUUCUGAAUCUGACGCCAACUUGAAAGCAUACUUGGCUGAUGCAUAUCUACAUCCUAUUUUCCACUCAUUUGAAGAGAUUGAACUGGAGGACGUUAAAAUCGACAAAAAGCCUCCUCCUCACAGCCCCAGCCCCCCACUGAGUGAACUCAGUUCUCCAUCACCAACUCAUGAUGCCAAAGACCUCAAGGAAGUCGAGCCAUCUGGGACGUCUCAAACAUCUCACAACGUCCAGCACUAUGAAGUCGGACAACCAGGGGACUUGUUU
rnacentral:misc_RNA from 1 species